rnacentral:rRNA from 1 species
GAGUUUGAUCAUGGCUCAGGAUGAACGCUGGCGGCGUGCUUAACACAUGCAAGUCGAACGGAACGUAACCGAGGAAAUUUUUCGAAGUGGAAUCGGUUACGUUUAGUGGCGGACGGGUGCGUAACACGUGGGCAACCUGCCCUGCUUUUCGGAAUAACGCCGGGAAACCGUCGCUAAUGCCGAAUGAUAUGAGGAGAAGGCAUCUUCUUUUCAUCAAAGAAUUUCGAAGCAGGAUGGGCCCGCGCCGUAUUAGCUGGUUGGUGAGGUAACGGCUCACCAAGGCGACGAUCCGUAGCCGACCUGAGAGGGUGAUCGGCCACACUGGAACUGAGACACGGUCCAGACUCCUACGGGAGGCAGCAGUGGGGAAUAUUGCACAAUGGGCGAAAGCCUGAUGCAGCAACGCCGCGUGAGCGAUGAAGGCUUUCGAGUCGUAAAGCUCUGUCGCAGGGGAAGACAAAGACGUACCCU